rnacentral:rRNA from 1 species
GCAAUUCGACGUGGUCUGAUUAGAUUGAUUUUAUUUUUUGUUUAGUCUUUAUUUAUUUUUUGUUUAAUUAAAUUAUUUUUUUGUUAUUGUAUGUUUUAUUGAUUUAAUUUUUUUAAUUAUAGUUUAUUUGUACCGUGUGGGGUUGUUUAUUAUUAUUUUGGAAGCCGAUUUUAUUUGUUGUACCUUGUGUAUCAGGGUUCAUUAAAUUUUAUUAUUUAUUUUUGUUUCCCGAUUUUGAGAGGAGUUAUUGGUAUAUUUUAGUUACUGUUUCAUUAGUAUUAAUAAUGUGCUGUUGGUAAUGAAAUGUUAUUCGUCUUUGUUGGUAUCUGGUUUUCCGAGAAAUGAAUUCAAUUCAUGCGUUUUAUUUAGAUUUAUUAUUGUUUUAUUUUAUUUUUAUAUUUCGUUAAGAUUGGGGGGGAUUAGCUCUCUAUUUUAUUUUUAUAACUUUUUAUUGUUUUAAUUCUUGUUGAUUUUAUAUUGAUUUUCAAUUUGAUUAUGUUAAAAUUUUAUUUUGUUUUUAUUUAAUUUGUUUUUGUUUAGGAUUUAUAUUGGAGUGUUCUUUUUAAUUAUGUUUUGUGUGGUAAUUAUUGUGAUAUUAGUAAAUUUUAUUUUAUCUUGUUUAAAUUUUUGGAUAUUGUUAAUUUCUUCUGAGGAAUUAGGCAAAGGGUUUGUGUUCGCCUGUUUAACAAAAACAUCUUUUCUUGUUAGUUUUUGAAGUAUGGUCUGCCCACUGAUUUUUUGAAGGGCCGCGGUAUUUUGACCGUGCAAAGGUAGCAUAAUCAUUAGUUCUUUAAUUGUGAUCUGGAAUGAAUGGCUUGACGAGAUGCAAGCUGUCUUAGGUUUUGAUGAAAAUUUUGUUGAAUUUGUUUUCUGAGUUAAAAUUCUUAGAUGUUUUUAUGGGACGAGAAGACCCUAUAGAGUUUUAACAUCCUUUUGUAUUAUUAUAUGUUGUUCUGUUGUUUUUUUUAAUAGGUUUGUGAUGUUUUGUUGGGGUGAUGGGAAGAAUUUAAUUAACUCUUCUUUUCUUUAUUACAUUUAUUUGUGGUAUUUUGAUCCAUUUAUUUUGAUUAAAAGAUUAAAUUACCUUAGGGAUAACAGCGUUAUCUUCCUUGAGAGUUCUUAUUGGCAGGAAGGAUUGCGACCUCGAUGUUGGAUUAAGGUUAAUAUUUGGUGCAGGAGCUGAAUUGUUUAGGUCUGUUCGACCUUUAAAAUCUUACAUGAUCUGAGUUCAAACCGGCGUGAGCCAGGUUGGUUUCUAUCUAUAAUGAUUUUGUAUAUCUUAGUACGAGAGGACCAGGUAUGCGAAAUAAUUUUAAUUAUUUAUGAUUUUCAUUAAUUUUGCUAUUUUGGCAGAUAAGUGCAUUGGAUUUAGAAUCUAUU